UGUUUGAUCUCUCUUCCGCAGCAAGAAUGUUCAGCUGAAGGUGGAUAAUGUUCUGCAAGACGUUAAAGUGUUCUCGGACGUAGAGAAGCUUUACCUCUACCUGCAGCUGCCUUCCGGCCCCAGCCAUGGGGACAAGAGCUCCGGUGUCACCGGCAGUGACCAGUUCUCCUCCAGCACCGCUGACCAGAUGCACGCCUGUAACUGGAUCCGGAACCACCUGGAGGAGCAUCCGGAUACCUGCCUGCCGAAGCAGGACGUGUACGACGCCUACAAGUGAGUACGCUCCGGAGGAAAGGCCCG